UCUUUACCUGCCCAAUCCUUUAUCUAAAUCUAUGCAACUCUUAGUGGUGCUCCGUAACAUUUUUCUCUCUUCCAGUUUUUUUGGGAAGUGGCAAGCACUUCUGAUGUUAGUAGUACUAAGAGAGUUCUGUAUGGCAAAAAAGGGAGAAGAAAAAUACUAUCGAAAAAGAGCUAGUAUCAUAAAGGGAUGAGCACCCAUAUUAGUUGGGGGAAUGGAAUGCUUUCUCCUUAUUUGUCUUGGACAAUCUUCACCUGAUGAGCUAGCUCUUGUGGGUUGAGUUUUGAUUUAUUUCCAUUUUCUUUACCUGCCCAAUCCUUUAUCUAAAUCUAUGCAACUCUUAGUGGUGCUCCGUAACAUUUUUCUCUCUUCCAGUUUUUUUGGGAAGUGGCAAGCACUUCUGAUGUUAGUAGUACUAAGAGAGUUCUGUAUGGCAAAAAAGGGAGAAGAAAAAUACUAUCGAAAAAGAGCUAGUAUCAUAAAGGGAUGAGCACCCAUAUUAGUUGGGGGAAUGGAAUGCUUUCUCCUUAUUUGUCUUGGACAAUCUUCACCUGAUGAGCUAGCUCUUGUGGGUUGAGUUUUGAUUUAUUUCCAUUUUCUUUACCUGCCCAAUCCUUUAUCUAAAUCUAUGCAACUCUUAGUGGUGCUCCGUAACAUUUUUCUCUCUUCCAGUUUUUUUGGGAAGUGGCAAGCAUUUCUGAUGUUAGAAGUACUAAGAGAGUGCUGUAUGACAAAAAAGGGAGAAGAAAAGUACUAUCGAAAAAGAGCUAGUAGCAUAAAGGGAUGAGCACCCUCUCUAUGCUGUAUGAAAGAUUCUAUGAACUGUAGCAAGGGCUCAACACUUGUUUGCCCAUUCCAAUUUCCACUAAAAGGACAUCAGAAGUAUACAGUAAUAUAAUUUUCAGUAUGGAGGACCACAACUCCUUCAAAAAACAUUGCUUUUGUUAGAUUUUAGAAUCCCCACCUGCUUUCUAGUAAAAACAACGUUCUUCUGCCCCUUCCAUACAGACUCGUUUACCCCUACUGUACCAACUUAUCCUCGGUUAUUUGGCUCUUCGAAAGAUGAUAGGAUACUGAGACAUUUCUGCCACUCUAAGCACUCACAAUCAUUGAAGUACCUUCAAAAUUUUAAAUUCCAACCAUUGCCUUCCCUGCCCUGUGUGCUAGACUGUUAAUAUCCUGCACUAUGCUUGAACAAGAGGGGAAUUGGUUUUUUAAUGGAGCGUGUGCCAAAAUUGAACUCUUCUUCUAUUGACAAUUUUGAUGUUAAUGCUCUGUGAAAACCAAGGCCAGGAUGCCCUAUUAUUUCUCCAUAUACCAUGCCCAUGUGGAGUUCCAUUUUGGUGUGCCUUUCAUUAUAGGCCACCCCUAUUGGCCUAUUCAUUAUAACAUUUCUCCAUAUCGUUGC
rnacentral:lncRNA from 1 species